rnacentral:rRNA from 1 species
GUGGCGGACGGGUGAGUAACACGUGGGUAACCUGCCCUUAAGUGGGGGAUAACAUUUGGAAACAGAUGCUAAUACCGCAUAGAUCCAAGAACCGCAUGGUUCUUGGCUGAAAGAUGGCGUAAGCUAUCGCUUUUGGAUGGACCCGCGGCGUAUUAGCUAGUUGGUGAGGUAAUGGCUCACCAAGGCGAUGAUACGUAGCCGAACUGAGAGGUUGAUCGGCCACAUUGGGACUGAGACACGGCCCAAACUCCUACGGGAGGCAGCAGUAGGGAAUCUUCCACAAUGGACGCAAGUCUGAUGGAGCAACGCCGCGUGAGUGAAGAAGGCUUUCGGGUCGUAAAACUCUGUUGUUGGAGAAGAAUGGUCGGCAGAGUAACUGUUGUCGGCGUGACGGUAUCCAACCAGAAAGCCACGGCUAACUACGUGCCAGCAGCCGCGGUAAUACGUAGGUGGCAAGCGUUAUCCGGAUUUAUUGGGCGUAAAGCGAGCGCAGGCGGUUUUUUAAGUCUGAUGUGAAAGCCCUCGGCUUAACCGAGGAAGCGCAUCGGAAACUGGGAAACUUGAGUGCAGAAGAGGACAGUGGAACUCCAUGUGUAGCGGUGAAAUGCGUAGAUAUAUGGAAGAACACCAGUGGCGAAGGCGGCUGUCUGGUCUGUAACUGACGCUGAGGCUCGAAAGCAUGGGUAGCGAACAGGAUUAGAUACCCUGGUAGUCCAUGCCGUAAACGAUGAAUGCUAGGUGUUGGAGGGUUUCCGCCCUUCAGUGCCGCAGCUAACGCAUUAAGCAUUCCGCCUGGGGAGUACGACCGCAAGGUUGAAACUCAAAGGAAUUGACGGGGGCCCGCACAAGCGGUGGAGCAUGUGGUUUAAUUCGAAGCAACGCGAAGAACCUUACCAGGUCUUGACAUCUUUUGAUCACCUGAGAGAUCAGGUUUCCCCUUCGGGGGCAAAAUGACAGGUGGUGCAUGGUUGUCGUCAGCUCGUGUCGUGAGAUGUUGGGUUAAGUCCCGCAACGA